CAAGAAGACCCUUCUUAGGGUGUGCAAAGUAUAAUACCCAGGGCUUACCAUAUUGUAAGUUCUUCAAGUGGUUGGAUGGUAAUGAAGUGAUUGAGCUACAACAACAAGAAAGAAUUGAUGAACUGUUAAAGAAAGAGAAAGAUGUAGAGAACAUACUUCAGAUGCUGGAAAAGAGAGAGAUUGAGCUACAUAAGAUAGUGGAUCGCCUCGAGAGGGUAAGCAUGGUGCUGUCCAAUAAAAGCGACGAGGUUACGCAAAAGGAGUUGGUGCUUAAUGCACAAGAAGCUAGAAGAAGGGGGUUGUGCACGCUAUUUUGGAUUUACUGUUGUUUUGUAUUUGUACAUGCAUUUUACCUUGUGUUAUAUAAGUGAAUGGGGGAUUGUUGUUAACUAGUGUUGUAUAUUUUGGUGGAAUAGAAAUCCUUGUUAUGUAACUCUGAGGUGAUGAAUGUAAUUUAAGACUGCUGGGUACUUGUUUCUGUGGCAAAGAAUAGAAGAUGUUCUUUUUGGUACAAA